AACGCGUGAUAUGUUAACAUCGGU
rnacentral:miRNA from 1 species